UCAGCCCUAAACACAAAUAAUUUCAAAAACAAAAUUAUUCGCCAGAGUACUACCGGCAACAGCCUAAAACUCAAAGGACUUGGCGGUGCUUUAUACCCUUCUAGAGGAGCCUGUUCUAUAAUCGAUAAACCCCGAUAGACCUCACCAAUUCUUGCUAAUGCAGUCUAUAUACCGCCAUCUUCAGCAAACCCUAAAAAGGAACAAAAGUAAGCGCAAUCACAACACAUAAAAACGUUAGGUCAAGGUGUAACCUAUGAAAUGGGAAGAAAUGGGCUACAUUUUCUAUUUCAAGAAAACCCACAUACGAAAGUUAUUAUGAAACUAAUAACCAAAGGAGGAUUUAGUAGUAAACUAAGAAUAGAGUGCUUAGUUGAAUUAGGCCAUGAAGCACGC
rnacentral:rRNA from 1 species